GAGGACAGGACAGGACAGCACAAAACAGCCGACAACCCACACACCCGCCCUCCCUGACAUGGCAUCCUCCUGGGAGCCACCAGGCUGUCCCUCAGGGUCUGUCAGAGCCCCACAACACCUCCCCUGCCCCCUCAGGGCUCUCAAAUGAAAGAAACCCACCACAGGUCACUAAGCUCCUCCCUGCCGCGGAAUCCAGUGGGCAUUUUCCUCUCUACGCUUCUGUGCAUUUGACAGCGUGAACUACUCCCACCUGGAAGCCCUGGCCUCCUUGGACAUCUGGGACACCGUGUACCUGCCUGGCUACUUCUUUUCUAUUGUCUUUGUGAAUUUCUUUGCCUUCACUGGUCCCCAAAUGUUGGUCCCCAGAGCAUGAUUCAAAAGAUCUUCUUCUAGUUUUUAUCCCCCCUCAUCUCGCUCCUUCCUAGAGUUUUAGGAACCACUUUGCUGACUCCCGAAUCUUCACCUCUAGCUUUGGGUCCCUCUCCUCAAAAUCAGAGCUUCAAAAUCAACAAUGUGGUGAUAUCAUCUUCAUCGAGCUGCCCAUGCGUAGCUCUGACUUGACCUGCCUGGAAUGGAAUAAGCUCCCCAACUGACCUACUUGCUCGUCUCCUAGGCUCCCUGUCACCCAGGCAUCAGAGGCAGCACGGACGGCUGCUCCCCGGCCCCAAACAUCCAAUUACCUCGACCUCGAAGUUCUUCAUAUCUCCAGUGCCACUGUCAUUUUCCGAGGCAACAGGCUCCUGAGGUCUCCAGUCCUCCACGAUCCAGCCAAUGAUCUCUCUGAAAUGCACAUCUGAUCAUUUCACUCCCCUCAAAAACCCUCAGUGGCUCCCAGCUGCCCAGGCUCUGUCCUCCCAGGCAGCCUGACCUUAGGGGAGGCCCACCUCUCAGCCUCCUCCUCUGCAUCCUGCUAUAGCCUUGACCUGGAGCUGAGGUCCUCUGACUUGUAGCAAUCGGGCUGCCUCAAAGCCCUGAGCCAAAAAAAGAGCCCCAUGCAUGCAUGCCAUGAACAUGUUAACACAUACAUGGGUGCAACCAUUCACCUUUGUCACGAUGCAGGAUAAGGCUCCCUGUGCACGAUCAACUGACUAGAAUUCCGCAUUGUCUCUUGUACAAUCCACACCCAUAUGCGUCCACUGUGAUUUUCAGUUCUGGCUUCUUUAAUACUGAGCGAUAAAACCAGAGACACUGGUGAACCAA